rnacentral:rRNA from 1 species
UACGGGGGGAGCAAGCGUUGUUCGGAUUUACUGGGCGUAAAGGGCGCGUAGGCGGCCACUGCAAGUCAGCUGUGAAAUCUCCGGGCUUAACUCGGAAAGGUCAGCUGAUACUGCAGGGCUAGAGUGCAGGAAGGGGCAACUGGAAUUCUCGGUGUAGCGGUGAAAUGCGUAGAUAUCGAGAGGAACACCUGCGGCGAAGGCGGGUUGCUGGGCUGACACUGACGCUGAAGCGCGAAAGCCAGGGGAGCGAACGGG